GAAGAAUCACGGCUUCGCAGUGCGCACACGGGGAGCUUGCUCCCAGAGAUGCUGCGAAGAAGGUCCCCGUCCCGUGCCUUGGUGCAGAGAGUGCGAGUGGGAGACCGCAGGGCUCGUGCCAGACUUCCAGUGGUGAUGCUUCUCGCAGAGCUUUGGUGGCGGGCUCGGGCCCUUCGCAGCAGUACAGACAUGCCGUGAGCG
rnacentral:RNase_MRP_RNA from 14 species